AUGAGCAGAGACACGUUUGCACAUUUGAUAGUCAUUUUGUGGGCUAUUUGGAGGGCUCGGAGAAAAGCGAUCUAUGAAGAUAUUUUCCAAUCACCACAUACCAUAUACGGUUUCAUAACGAGCUAUCUUCAAGAUAUCAAUUCUAUCAGCAAGAAGGAGGUUCGGCACAGAGUCCAGUCUAGGAACAGGCCGUCACUUAGGCAGCCUCCAGUCGCUAAUUGUGUCAAGAUCAACGCUGAUGCCGCUGCACCGAGGAAUGCUAGAUAUGGAGCGGUCGGGGCUAUAUGCAGAAGCUCAGAAGGAAUGUUCCUGGGCGCGUCAGUGCUGGUGGUGAGGUACGUCACCGACCCACAGAUCCUUGAAGCCAUCGCAAUAAGGGAAGGAUUAGCGCUGGCCGACGAUCUCUACCAGAGGCGAGUUCACGUUGUUUCGGACUGCAAAAAUGUGGUGGAGGAUCUGAAAAAGGAGAAUGCGUCGUCACAUGGUGCAAUUGCACAUGAAAUUAUAAACCACUCUUUAGCUUUUGAUUUUUGUAAGUUUAGCCAUGAGUUUAGGAGCUUAAAUUUUGAAGCUCACAACCUAGCGAAGCACGCUUUGUCGCUCGGGAUUGGCCGCCGUGUGUGGCUGGGUCAACCUGGGGAUCUUACUUUCGUCCCUGUAAACAUUGUGACGACUUAA
rnacentral:rRNA from 1 species